AUGGUCUCAGAGACCCUGACUCUCAGCCGAAGGACCCUGUGCCCAGAGGAGUGGGGGCUCCUGGGGAGUGUCCGGCCCUCCCUGAGUCCUUCUGGAGAGACCGUCAGUACUCCAUUCUCACCCCUGCUUGGUUCCCACGAUGCUCUGAGGACUGUGGAUACCCCUCCAUGUGCUGUGUUACGUACGUCCCUCAACACAACACCCACCUUGGAAAAAGGUACUGGACCCUGCAGGCCAGGCAGAGGGAAGGGACGGAGAAGGAAGAAGUGUCAGAUGUCCAGAUCUUGCCAUGCGCCUUGUCCUGCAAACAGAAGGGGAAGGAUGUAUCGCUGCCUGCCCCCCAUCUCCUGCUCAGGACGCUGUGCAACUGGCUCAGUGGUGUCAUAAAGCUGUGAAAAUGUGUUAACGAUACGUAACUUGAGGGAGGGCUGUCGUGCAUGUAGCACUCAUCAGAGCUGGCAUAGUCCAGCAGGAAGAAGCAAGAGCUCCUCUGGGCCAGCAAUAGGAGUUGGCCUUUGCCUGCUGCCGGUGAAAGGCUCCCACUUGGCUCACCCACAGCCAAGGAAGGAGCACCACUGCUUCAAAUGCUCAGGUUCCUCCAAAAAACUUGCAUGCGAAAGGACACCCCCCCCCCUCCCCGCGUCCUCCUUAAAAGGACACCCUCCUUUGUUCUGUGCUCCUGCAUGUUUUGCCUGAGUCGUGCUUGUCCUCAGUUGCCUUACUUCUUCUCUUCCCAAAUAAACUUGAUUUUGCUGGCUGAGUGGUUCA
rnacentral:lncRNA from 1 species